rnacentral:rRNA from 1 species
CACCUACGGGGGCAGCAGUGGGGAAUAUUGGACAAUGGGCGCAAGCCUGAUCCAGCCAUGCCGCGUGUGUGAAGAAGGCCUUCGGGUCGUAAAGCACUUUUGUUGGGAAAGAAAUCCUGGUGAUUAAUACUCGCCGGGGAUGACGGUACCCAAAGAAUAAGCACCGGCUAACUUCGUGCCAGCAGCCGCGGUAAUACGAAGGGUGCAAGCGUUACUCGGAAUUACUGGGCGUAAAGCGUGCGUAGGCGGUUGAUUAAGUCUGCUGUGAAAGCCCUGGGCUCAACCUGGGAACUGCAGUGGAUACUGGUCAGCUAGAGUGUGUCAGAGGAUGGUGGAAUUCCCGGUGUAGCGGUGAAAUGCGUAGAGAUCGGGAGGAACAUCAGUGGCGAAGGCGGCCAUCUGGGACAACACUGACGCUGAGGCACGAAAGCGUGGGGAGCAAACAGGAUUAGAUACCCUGGUAGUCCACGCCCUAAACGAUGCGAACUGGACGUUGGGCACACUUAGGUGCUCAGUGUCGAAGCUAACGCGUUAAGUCGCCGCC